rnacentral:rRNA from 1 species
AUUGAACGCUGGCGGCAGGCCUAACACAUGCAAGUCGAACGAGUGGCGGACGGGUGCGUAAUGUCUGGGAAACUGCCCGAUGGAGGGGGAUAACUACUGGAAACGGUCGCUAAUACCGCAUACCAUCGGAUGUGCCCCUAUGGGAUUAGCUAGUAGGUGGGGUAACGGCUCACCUAGGCGACGAUCCCUAGCUGGUCUGAGAGGAUGACCAGCCACACUGGAACUGAGACACGGUCCAGACUCCUACGGGAGGCAGCAGUGGGGAAUAUUGCACAAUGGGCGCUAGCCUGAUGCAGCCAUGCCGCGUGUAUGAAGAAGGCCUUCGGGUUGUAAAGUACUUUCAGCGAGGAGGCGUUACGCGCAGAAGAAGCACCGGCUAACUCCGUGCCAGCAGCCGCGGUAAUAC